rnacentral:tRNA from 2 species
GGAGGCGUCGCAUAGUGGUCUAGUGCGCUCGCUUGGAAAGCGAGUAUACCGCAAGGUAUCGAGCGUUCGAAUCGCUCCGCCUCCGCCA